rnacentral:rRNA from 1 species
UUUAGUGGCGACGGGUGAGUAACACGUGGGCAAUCUGCCCUGCACUCUGGGACAAGCCCUGGAAACGGGGUCUAAUACCGGAUGAUAUCCCCUCUCGCAUGGGAGGGGGUUGAAAGCUCCGGCGGUGCAGGAUGAGCCCGCGGCCUAUCAGCUAGUUGGUGAGGUAGAAGCUCACCAAGGCGACGACGGGUAGCCGGCCUGAGAGGGCGACCGGCCACACUGGGACUGAGACACGGCCCAGACUCCUACGGGAGGCAGCAGUGGGGAAUAUUGCACAAUGGGCGAAAGCCUGAUGCAGCGACGCCGCGUGAGGGAUGACGGCCUUCGGGUUGUAAACCUCUUUCAGCAGGGAAGAAGCGAAAGUGACGGUACCUGCAGAAGAAGCGCCGGCUAACUACGUGCCAGCAGCCGCGGUAAUACGUAGGGCGCAAGCGUUGUCCGGAAUUAUUGGGCGUAAAGAGCUCGUAGGCGGCUUGUCACGUCGGUUGUGAAAGCCCGGGGCUUAACCCCGGGUCUGCAGUCGAUACGGGCAGGCUAGAGUGUGGUAGGGGAGAUCGGAAUUCCUGGUGUAGCGGUGAAAUGCGCAGAUAUCAGGAGGAACACCGGUGGCGAAGGCGGAUCUCUGGGCCAUUACUGACGCUGAGGAGCGAAAGCGUGGGGAGCGAACAGGAUUAGAUACCCUGGUAGUCCACGCCGUAAACGGUGGGAACUAGGUGUUGGCGACAUUCCACGUCGUCGGUGCCGCAGCUAACGCAUUAAGUUCCUCGCCUGGGGGAGUACGGCGCAGGCUAAAACUCAAAGGAAUUGACGGGGGCCGCACAGCAGCGAGCAUGUGGCUGUCGACGCAACGCGAAGAAUCUUACCCAA